GAUGAAGAACGCAGCGAAAUGCGAUAAGUAAUGUGAAUUGCAGAAUUCAGUGAAUCAUCGAAUCUUUGAACGCACAUUGCGCCCGCCAGUAUUCUGGCGGGCAUGCCUGUUCGAGCGUCAUUUCAACCAUCAAGCCCCCGGCUUGUGUUGGGGACCUGCGGCUGCCGCAGGCCCUGAAAAGCAGUGGCGGGCUCGCUGUCACACCGAGCGUAGUAGCAUACAUCUCUCUCUGGGCGUGCUGCGGGUUCCGGCCGUUAAACCACCUUCAUAACCCAAGGUUGACCUCGGAUCAGGUAGGAAGACCCGCUGAACUUAAGCAUAUCAAUAAGCGGAGGA
rnacentral:misc_RNA from 1 species